UACGAAGGGUGCAAGCGUUACUCGGAAUUACUGGGCGUAAAGCGUGCGUAGGUGGUUUGUUAAGUCUGAUGUGAAAGCCCUGGGCUCAACCUGGGAAUUGCAUUGGAUAUUGGCAGGCUAGAGUGCGGUAGAGGGUAGUGGAAUUCCCGGUGUAGCAGUGAAAUGCGUAGAGAUCGGGAGGAACAUCCGUGGCGAAGGCGACUACGUGGACCAGCACUGACACUGAGGCACGAAAGCGUGGGGAGCAAACAGG
rnacentral:rRNA from 1 species